rnacentral:lncRNA from 1 species
GUGGACAAUGCUCAAUCCUCUUCUCAUCCAUGGUAUAAUUUUCAUAAUAGUCCAUCCUCAACUUAUUCUUAUAGUUUGAAUUUUUUUUUUCAUUUUUUGCAUAAUCCAAUCUUUCAUAUAUUGAGUUUCCACAAAUUCAAUUUUAUCUUGAAAAAAUUUGAGUAGAAAAUAAAAAAAAUAAAUCAUAAUAAUCCAUCUAAUUAGAACAUAAACUAUAUUGGAAUAUCAAGAUU